rnacentral:rRNA from 1 species
GUGGGGAAUUUUGGACAAUGGGCGCAAGCCUGAUCCAGCCAUGCCGCGUGCAGGAUGAAGGCCUUCGGGUUGUAAACUGCUUUUGUACGGAACGAAACGGCUCUUUCUAAUAAAGAGGGCUAAUGACGGUACCGUAAGAAUAAGCACCGGCUAACUACGUGCCAGCAGCCGCGGUAAUACGUAGGGUGCAAGCGUUAAUCGGAAUUACUGGGCGUAAAGCGUGCGCAAGCGGUUAUAUAAGACAGAUGUGAAAUCCCCGGGCUCAACCUGGGAACUGCAUUUGUGACGGUAUAGCUAGAGUACGGUAGAGGGGGAUGGAAUUCCGCGUGUAGCAGUGAAAUGCGUAGAUAUGCGGAGGAACACCGAUGGCGAAGGCAAUCCCCUGGACCUGUACUGACGCUCAUGCACGAAAGCGUGGGGAGCAAACAGGAUUAGAUACCCUGGUAGUCC